GACAGUGGCGUAGCUACAAUAGCAAGCAAAACAGACUCAGACCCUCAUGGAACUUAAAGUCUGGGAAGGAAGAAAGUUGUUAACCAAGUGAUCAGACAAAUCAAAAACAGAAACUGAGAUAAGGAAGCAGAAGAAAAAUAUUCCUGUACACGCACCCAGAGGCUUUUGCAGGAGGCGGCUGUUGGAGAACUGGGAAAACAAGCCAAGAAACAAGAGAGAGGAAAAAGACCACGCCUCGCCUGGCAGAUUCCU
rnacentral:lncRNA from 1 species